UCAAGAAAGAUGUAUUUUUUAUAAGUAUUUAUGUUCAUUGAAGUCAAGAAAUGGUGACUAUAACGUGAGUUGUGACAAACC